CACCUGGAUCUUUGUGAUUUUGGAAAACCAGCAGGAGCAAUUGCGACAGCAUACGCAGCUCCUGCGUCUCAUCCUGGCGAGAGGUUAAGCACAAGAUGCAGUUCCGAGUGAGUUGCCAGAGGGGAUAUCUUUCCCCCUCAAAACUGUGGUGGAUUUGGCAGCCUUCAAAGAGCGAAAGUCACAAGCGAAUGCUGCAACAUCCGUUGUAAAAUACUUGGCAGAAUAUGGUGGGAGUGACACAGUGGACACGGUUUCCCGGAUAAUGAAGACGGUGUUGACAACAAAUCUGGCCCGCCAAUACUGGACAGACUCCACUUGAUAAACAUCUUUUUCAGAUGUCUACAAUUGAACCCAGCAACACACUUUAGAACCGCAAGGAAAUGGAGGGGGCCAUAUAGAAGUGGCUUUCCGAGUCUCAAGGUCGUGAGGUUGGCCGCAAAGACCGA